rnacentral:rRNA from 1 species
CCUACGGGCGGCAGCAGUGAGGAAUAUUGGUCAAUGGACGAGAGCCUGAACCAGCCAAGUAGCGUGAAGGAUGACUGCCCUACGGGUUGUAAACUUCUUUUAUAAGGGAAUAAAAUAAGGCACGUAUACCUUUUUGUAUGUACUUUAUGAAUAAGGAUCGGCUAACUCCGUGCCAGCAGCCGCGGUAAUACGGAGGAUCCGAGCGUUAUCCGGAUUUAUUGGGUUUAAAGGGAGCGUAGGUGGGUUGUUAAGUCAGUUGUGAAAGUUUGCGGCUCAACCGUAAAAUUGCAGUUGAUACUGGCAGUCUUGAGUACAGUAGAGGUAGGCGGAAUUCGUGGUGUAGCGGUGAGAUGCUUAGAUAUCACGAAGAACUCCGAUUGCGAAGGCAGCUUACUAAACUGCAACUGACACUGAUGCUCGAAAGUGUGGGUAUCAAACAGGAUUAGAUACCUGUGUAGUC